CAAGGUAUUAUUUUUUGUGCUUUUCUAGAACUACCAGCAAACUAUAUGUUAAGGAUACCUUAAUUAUAGUUUCUUAUUCUACAAGUUAAUUUUAGAUUCUUACAGCGUGUUUGGUUCGCUGUAAUGGGUAUGCGAUUAUCCAUCUAUUCCACGCGCCUCAUCUAAUUCGGCGUUUGGUUCGCUGCAAUACCUAUUACGGGCGUAUUACAUUACAGGCUUAUUCCCCAAAAUCUCUGCUUUUGUAUUCCCUUCCCAAAACGACGAUUAGCUAUUACGGUCGUCUUCCCAAUUUCUAUGCCCUGUUUUACCCUCCCAGUCUUCUUCAACGAUUAGCUAUUAUGCCGUUUUCAAGGUUAAGGGGUUGGACUGGUACUUGUGGCUUGCGGUUGCGGUUGCUUUUAGUGCCCAAACAAAUUCAAUCCUUGUCAUGCUGGUUAUUGUGAAGUGGUUUACUUUUAGUGCCAAAACAAAUUUAAUUCUUGACAUGCUGGUAGUUGUGGCUUGCGGUUGCUUUUAGUGCCAAAACAUAGCAACUUUUCUGUAAUUGAUUAUGUGUUCAAUGUCACACAUUUUGAAGCUUCAUUUUCUUUGAUUAUUUUGAACCUCAGUUUCAUAUGCUUAUUUCAGAUGUAUGGUUGCCAAGUUAAUGGCUUUGUUUUCCUUGUACAAGAUCCAGCAUUGAGUUGUUAUAGUUGAUUCCAAUCAUACAUGCGAUUAAUCCUGGUUUUUAACAGAGCAGUGGUUGUCUUGGAUGUGAAUGCUAAGGACAAUGAAGGUCAAACCCCAUUGCACUAUGCUGUUAUGUGUGAGAGGGAAGACAUUGCCAAAUUUCUUGUAAAACAAAAUGUAGACAAAGAUACGAAGGAUAGCGAUGGCAACUCUCCAGUCGACCUAUGUGACUCAGAUUGGCCUUGGUUGCAACAUGCGGGCAAAGCGGAAUGACAUGUGCUUUAUUCCCAAGUUUGGUUUCAGUUAAAAAGUACUUGAAAAAAAAUUUCUCGUGGAUGUAAAUUUGGCAUUUUGGGCCAACAAUCUAAGGACGUCAACUUUAUCUUUUUUAUUGUAGUUUUUAUCAAAAUUAAGCAUGGUGGCGUUAAUGUUUAAUAUUUUUUAAAAUUUUUCUAA